UACGAAGGGGGCUAGCGUUGCUCGGAAUUACUGGGCGUAAAGGGCGCGUAGGCGGAUACUUAAGUUAGAGGUGAAAGCCCAGGGCUCAACCCUGGAAUAGCCUUUAAUACUGGGUAUCUUGAGUUCGGGAGAGGUGAGUGGAACUCCGAGUGUAGAGGUGAAAUUCGUAGAUAUUCGGAAGAACACCAGUGGCGAAGGCGACUCACUGGCCCGAUACUGACGCUGAGGCGCGAAAGCGUGGGGAGCAAACAGGG
rnacentral:rRNA from 1 species